GCCAUGCCGCGUGCAGGAUGACGGUCCUAUGGAUUGUAAACUGCUUUUGUACGAGAAGAAACACUCCAACGUGUUGGAGCUUGACGGUAUCGUAAGAAUAAGGAUCGGCUAACUCCGUGCCAGCAGCCGCGGUAAUACGGAGGAUCCAAGCGUUAUCCGGAAUCAUUGGGUUUAAAGGGUCCGUAGGCGGUUUAGUAAGUCAGUGGUGAAAGCCCAUCGCUCAACGGUGGAACGGCCAUUGAUACUGCUAAACUUGAAUUAUUAGGAAGUAACUAGAAUAUGUAGUGUAGCGGUGAAAUGCUUAAAGAUUACAUGGAAUACCAAUUGCGAAGGCAGGUUACUACUAAUGGAUUGACGCUGAUGGACGAAAGCGUGGGUAGCGAACAGGAUUAGAUACCCUGGUAGUCCACGCCGUAAACGAUGGAUACUAGCUGUUGGGAGCAAUCUCAGUGGCUAAGCGAAAGUGAUAAGUAUCCCACCUGGGGAGUACGUUCGCAAGAAUGAAACUCAAAGGAAUUGACGGGGGCCCGCACAAGCGGUGGAGCAUGUGGUUUAAUUCGAUGAUACGCGAGGAACCUUACCAAGGCUUAAAUGUAGUUUGACCGAUUUGGAAACAGAUCUUUC
rnacentral:rRNA from 1 species